rnacentral:rRNA from 1 species
CCCUGCUAUCCUAUAUAAAUAAAUAUAGAAGUAAUUUUUAAACUUAAAAAUUUGGCGGUAAUUAGUAUUAUAGAGGGAUAUGUAAUUAAACCGAUAUUACACGAUUUAACUUGCUUGAUAAAUAUCUAUAUACUUCCGUUGUCAGAUUUUCAAAUUUAAUAAGUUUCUAGAUAAUUAAUAUAAUAUUAUAACUUCAGGUCAAUGUGUAAUUAAAUCAAGAUAUUAUGUAUCAUAAUCAAAAAUUAUUGAAACAGUAUACUUCUUGUAAUAGAUUAUUAAGGUAAAUUUAUAAGUAAAAAGAAAAUAAAUUAUUUAUUUGAAAACUUACUAAUUAUGUACAUAUCGCCCG